rnacentral:misc_RNA from 1 species
GAUGAAGAACGUAGCGAAAUGCGAUACUUGCUGUGAAUUGCAGAAUCCCGUGAACCAUCGAGUCUUUGAACGCAAGUUGCGCCCGAAGCCAUUAGGCCGAGGGCACGCCUGCCUGGGCGUCACACGUCGUUGCCCCCCCCAUCUACUCCUUCGGGAUUGCGGGGGGCGGAUGAUGGCCUCCCGUGCGCCUCGCCGCGCGGUUGGCAUAAAUGCCAAGUCCUCGGCGACGCACGCCACGACAAUCGGUGGUUGCGAAACCUCGGUUGCCCGUCGUGUGCGGUCGUCGCGCAUCGAGGGCUCGAAAAAAUUGCCGAGUUCCGGCUCGGCUUUCAACGCGACCCCAGGUCAGGCGGGGGUACCCGCUGAAUUUAAGCAUAUCAAUAAGCGGAGGA